rnacentral:rRNA from 1 species
AUUGAACGCUGGCGGCAUGCCUUACACAUGCAAGUCGAACGGUAACAGGUCUUCGGAUGCUGACGAGUGGCGAACGGGUGAGUAAUGCAUCGGAACGUGCCCAGUAGUGGGGGAUAGCCCGGCGAAAGCCGGAUUAAUACCGCAUACGACCUGAGGGUGAAAGGGGGGGAUCGCAAGACCUCUCGCUAUUGGAGCGGCCGAUGUCAGAUUAGCUAGUUGGUGGGGUAAAGGCCUACCAAGGCAACGAUCUGUAGUUGGUCUGAGAGGACGACCCGCGACACUGGGACUGAGACACGGCCCAGACUCCUACGGGAGGCAGCAGUGGGGAAUUUUGGACAAUGGGCGCAAGCCUGAUCCAGCAAUGCCGCGUGCAGGAAGAAGGCCUUCGGGUUGUAAACUGCUUUUGUCAGGGAAGAAAUCUUCUGGGUUAAUACCUCGGGAGGAUGACGGUACCUGAAGAAUAAGCACCGGCUAACUACGUGCCAGCCGCCGCAGUAAUAC